UUCCAGCUGUCACUGGAAUAUAAAACCAGAUAGGAUCAUCAUGGCCUCAUAUAUGGUCCCCUUUAAGUGAAGAUAGCAGCACAAAACACAGCAUGGGACACAUCCUGUGUGUCCCAAAACACUCUAUAAUAAGGAAGUAAAAAACAAAGUCCAAAUACACAGUGAGUUGCAAGAAGGAUCAAGACAUUGCUAAGUUCCUGAGGCCUGUAGCUCUGUACCUGGAGGCCCUGGAGUAUUUCUGAGGCCCAAGCUGAGUGUGUGCUUCAACUGUCUUACCUUUGAGUCAGGCUGAGGAAGGAAUACUUUGUCUCCCUCCUUUGUGUUCUGGUCCUUGAGGGAGCUCUGCACAAGAGUUUGGGAGGGAGCCCCAAGGUCCUUGCUCUGAGCACCUGCAUUUUGCCUUUAGCAGUGGCUGUUCCUAAGUGCUUUGAAAGAGGAUGUAAACUUCACUUCCAGAGCCAAAGCAAGGAUAAAAGGUAAAAUAUUGUUUGUGGAAGACACUGCAGUGAGCCCUUCAAGAACUGAGAUUUUGGAACGGUGCAGAAGUUUCCUAUGCAAAUCCUACAGUUUUUGUCGAAUUAAAAUCUGCAAGUUCUUAGUGAUGAA